UACAGAGGGGGCAAGCGUUGUUCGGAAUUACUGGGCGUAAAGGGCGCGUAGGUGGCCUUCUAAGUUGAACGUGAAAUCCCUGGGCUCAACCCAGGAACUGCGUCCAAGACUGGGAGGCUUGAAUCCGGGAGAGGGAUGCGGAAUUCCAAGUGUAGCGGUGAAAUGCGUAGAUAUCUGGAGGAACACCGGUGGCGAAGGCGGCAUCCUGGACCGGUAUUGACACUGAGGCGCGAAAGCGUGGGGAGCGAACAGG
rnacentral:rRNA from 1 species